rnacentral:lncRNA from 1 species
UUCACUGCUGCCUGUCCAUGUGAAACAUUGAAGGGACACCUCCUCCUCCUCUUCUUUUUCUUCUUGUUCACUGCUUCCCUCCAUCAAAAAUGGGGGAGGGGCCGGUCCAUCUGCUACAGUGGAGGGGACUCCUGCUCCUCAUGCCCUUCCUUCUCCUUGUCUUCUUUCUGUUCCACUUUUUCUUCAUCUCCCCCUUCCUUUUCUUCAUCCAUUCUCUUCUUUUUCUUCUUAUUCUUCUUCAACUACUGCCCUCCUUCAUGAGCAGAGGACGCCUCCUCCUCCUUCUCCUUUCCUUCAGAUGUUUCUUUUACAUUGUGUUCAUAAAUGGAUAAUUCAUUGCUAAAUAUGUUUAGAAUCAUGUAUUCAUUAUUAGCUAUAUGUAAGUUGAUAUUUUUGUUGUGCCUCACGUUGUCAAGGGGUGCGCUCUUGCAUUGCGCCUUGUGCUUAGGAUAACAUAAGCUGAACCGUGCUUUCUUCCUCCCUUUCCCUUCCCUCCUCUCUUCUUCUUAGUUUCAAUCUUGUGCAGACAUUCUUUGUUCUAUUCUCCUACAUAAUCAUCUAAUGUCCCUCUUUGUUCUUUGUUUUUUGUUUUUGUUUUAAUUUGUUUUAAGGGACAACAUCCCACUACCUUCUGCUUUGCUGAAUGUUCUAUAUGUGAUCUAUCUGUAGCCCUUAAGGCUGCUUUCUGCUAAAUAUUGCUAGAGGACCUCGAGUAUCUACAUUGUUCCAAACAAUCAUGGGCAGCUCUGAUUCUACUCCCCCCCUUCU